rnacentral:rRNA from 1 species
GAUGAACGCUGGCGGCGUGCCUAAUACAUGCAAGUCGAGCGAACUGAUUAGAAGCUUGCUUCUAUGACGUUAGCGGCGGACGGGUGAGUAACACGUGGGCAACCUGCCUGUAAGACUGGGAUAACUUCGGGAAACCGAAGCUAAUACCGGAAAGGACCAUCUCCUUCAUGGGAGAUGAUUGAAAGAUGGUUUCGGCUUCCACUUACCGAUGGGCCCGCGGUGCAUUAGCUAGUUGGUGAGGUAACGGCUCACCAAGGCAACGAUGCAUAGCCGACCUGCGAGGGGGAUCGGCCACACUGGGACUGAGACACGGCCCAGACUCCUACGGGAGGCAGCAGUAGGGAAUCUUCCGCAAUGGACGAAAGUCUGACGGAGCAACGCCGCGUGAGUGAUGAAGGCUUUCGGGUCGUAAAACUCUGUUGUUAGGGAAGAACAAGUACAAGAGUAACUGCUUGUACCUUGACGGUACCUAACCAGAAAGCCACGGCUAACUACGUGCCAGCCGCCGCGGUAAGAC